GGUCGUGUGGCCUAACGGAUAAGGCGUCGGACUUCUAACUUGUCAGCAAUCCAAAAAUUGCGGGUUCGAAUCCCGCCACGAUUA
rnacentral:tRNA from 1 species